GAAAAGAGUUAGAAAUAC
rnacentral:tRNA from 1 species